CCGCCGUCUGCCCGCACGCAGCUCGGUCUCGGGAGAGGGAGCUCUGUGAACACCGCCCUUAGGGUCGUGUUCUGUGAACGCUGAGCACCAGGAGUUGAGGGAAGACGCGGCCCCGCAGAGUCCGCCCCUCCACGUCCCACCUGUGCUCCCCGGGAGAGCACACGCCUUGGAGCUUCGCCUUUGUCCCAUCCGCGUCUGCAUCCAUACCAGCGCUGAGCAGAACAAUUCGAAUAUUGGCAGGGGCUUCGUGGAUGGUCACAAAAGUGGAUUCGUGUCUGUGUCCAGGAUUUCAAGGCCUGUGCUGCUGGCAGAACCCCUGACCUGAGUGAGAAAGCAUCAUGUCAGGCAAGGAGGAGUGGACACUGGAGUCACCUGACGAAGUUGCCGGGCCGGGCCUCACUGUGGACUCCCCUGAGCCCCUCUGUUAGCCUUCUCUCCUGCGUCUGCUGCUUGCUGGAGUCCUGGACACCUCCAUCGAAUAAAAGCUCUCUGCUGCCAAAGGAGUCCCAUAUUGAGGUAUCCUUUCACAGAAGAGCAUGUGCUUAUGCCAGUAUGAAUUCCUUCCGAGUAGUUUCCCCUUUCUCCUGGACGGCACCGUUGGAGAAUGAGACAUGUUCAAGCGUACAGAAAACAGUUCAGAACAACAUCCGUGACUGGCGAGUUCGCCUGUUUAUCAUGCGCACUUUGAAAUGGGUCAGACUGAAGUACCUCCUUCGCCCUCCCAGCUGCCCACCCUGCCCCCACCUUCCACCCACCGCUGACAGACGUUCAAGGCCAGCUGUGUCCAACUUCCAGGUGCAAGAAGCCUUGGGCCCAGCCAGAGGUCACCUGAUGCCAGUUAGCACCCAGUUCUCCACCCUCAGUGUAUUUGCCCCUCCCCCACACUGCACAAAGGAAAAGGCACACACACACAUGUUAUUAAAAUGAACUGUUUAUAUUAUCUCAGUUGAGUCAAUACAUUAUAAUGUAUUAAAAUGGAAAGGUACAAAA